UGCCUCCUGAGGUCUAGCAAUUCUCCCAUCUCAGCCUCCUGAGUAGCUGGGACUACACUGCUCCAGGAGAAUUUUUGUAUUUUUAGUAGAGACAGGGUUUCACCAUGUCAGCCAAGCUGGUCUUGAACUCCUGAGCUCCAGUGAUCUGCCUGCCCUGGACUCACAAAGUUCUGGGAUUGCAGGCAUGAGCCACCGUGCCCAGCUGCACACAUAUUUUCAUUCUGCCUAGCUAGAUUCCUAAGAAUUAAAGUGCUGGGUCAUAUGGAAUGUUUACAUUUAACUUUUAAGAAAAACUGCCAAACUGUUUUUCAGGGCUUCAGUUUUCUUUAUUUAUUGUAUGUUUUCAGUUCUUCGGGGUAUCAGGGUUAAGUAAGCACUUCAUUUUUUCUUGUUUCCUGUCCUUAAUUUUUUCAAAGGUUGCUCUGAGUUUGUGGGAGGUGCAUCUCCUGAUUCCUCCCUCCCGGCCCUCUUCCUACCAUUGAGUUUGUCUCUGCUUUGAGAACAUAGACCGCACCUGUCUGUAUUCCUCACUAGCCUGUAAGGUCUUCCAGUCUAAGACUGCGUGUCGAUUGCAUUUCUAUCCAAACUGCAUGCUUAUUCCAGUUCAAAAUCAAAUAAGGCACACGCCUGACCUCAAGAAACUCACAAGCCAACAAAGAAAUAGGACCUUUCUGUGUGAGUGAAGGAGUCCAUAUGAUCUGCUGCAAAAUACAGAUUGGGGGAGAGAGAGAGGGAUACUUCGCCCACCAAGAAAUAACAGAGGACAAGAACUUGGGCAAAGAUGCCACAGCCACAGAGGUUUCCUGCCAGAAAAAUCAACACCCCAGAGAUCCUGUAACAUUAAUGUAUCUUCAAAGGCAGCAGGUAUAGACUCCAGGUCUUUGG
rnacentral:lncRNA from 13 species